rnacentral:rRNA from 1 species
GCGUGGGAAUAUGCCCUUCUCUACGGAAUAGCCUCGGGAAACUGGGAGUAAUACCGUAUACGCCCUCUGGGGGAAAGAUUUAUCGGAGAAGGAUUAGCCCGCGUUGGAUUAGGUAGUUGGUGGGGUAAUGGCCUACCAAGCCGACGAUCCAUAGCUGGUUUGAGAGGAUGAUCAGCCACACUGGGACUGAGACACGGCCCAGACUCCUACGGGAGGCAGCAGUGGGGAAUAUUGCACAAUGGGGGAAACCCUGAUGCAGCCAUGCCGCGUGUGUGAAGAAGGCCUUCGGGUUGUAAAGCA